CGUUCUUACCCUUCCGCGGGGGAUGCGCCUGUCCCUCUGCACCCUGGCCGUGCCCCCCACCUCAGUCGGACCGAGUUUGACCGAGUUCACCAAAACCUCACUCACAACCGUUCGGAAUUCAAAAGCAGCAAGAUGCAAGGCACGCUGGCAUAAACAUACACGAAGUGAAAACAACAACAAAGUAAGGAACUUCGUAUUUUGUCUUACGACAGCAUUUAUUUAUAAGGUACGGGGCUGCAAAACCUAACUGGAUCGUUUCUCUGAAAUGUAAAGCAAAUUGCUGAUUUAUUACUGGGGUGGGGUGGGUGCUGGAAGCCCAACCAGGUAACAAAAGACCUUUGAACAAAAGACCUCUGAAGAGACCUCAACGUAACUACUUUAAAGUGGCUACAGGUUGAUUAUUAAAGAUGGUCCUGUUAAAAUAUUUAAAUCUUUAAAUGGGCCAAAUGUUUAAUCUGUAGAUAUUUGAAAAUAUUAAUUUGAGAAGUUU